CACCUCUCAGGUUUGCACCUGGAGAGUUUCCAGUACUCUACCAGUCGUGGCUAUGGGAGGAAGAGUCAAGCAGAGGCAUACUCACUCCAUUUCUAGCUUGGGCAGUGGCUAGCUGGUGGAAGGCAAUCUGCUACAGGU